CCUACGGGUGGCAGCAGUGGGGAAUAUUGCACAAUGGGGGAAACCCUGAUGCAGCGACGCCGCGUGAGUGAAUAAGUAACUCGUUAUGUAAAGCCCUAUCAGCAGGGAAGAAAAUGACGGUACCUGAGUCAGAAGCCCCGGCUAACUACGUGCCAGCAGCCGCGGUAAUACGUAGGGGGCAGGCGGUAUCCGGAUGUACUGGGGGUAAAGGGAGCGUAGACGGAAGUGCAAGUCUGGAGUGAAAGGCGGGGGCUCAACCCCCGGACUGCGCUGGAAACUGUACGGCUGGAGUGCAGGAGAGGUAAGUGGAAUUCCUGGUGUAGCGGUGAAAUGCGUAGAUAUUAGGAGGAACACCAGUGGCGAAGGCGGCUUACUGGACUGUAACUGACGUUGAGGCACGAAAGCGUGGGGAGCGAACAGGAUUAGAUACCCGAGUAGUC
rnacentral:rRNA from 1 species